rnacentral:rRNA from 1 species
AUACACAUGCAAGUCGAACGAGUGGCGGACGGGUGAGUAAUGUCUGGGAAACUGCCUGAUGGAGGGGGAUAACUACUGGAAACGGUAGCUAAUACCGCAUACCAUCGGAUGUGCCCAGAUGGGAUUAGCUGGUGGGGGGGGUAACGGCUCACCUAGGCGACGAUCCCUAGCUGGUCUGAGAGGAUGACCAGCCACACUGGAACUGAGACACGGGCCAGACUCUUAGGGGAGGCAGGAGUGGGGAAGAUUGCACAAUGGGCGCAAGCCUGAUGCAGCCAUGCCGCGUGUAUGAAGAAGGCCUUCGGGUUGUAAAGUACUUUCAGCGGGGAGGCGUUACCCGCAGAAGAAGCACCGGCUAACUCCGUGCCAGCAGCCGCGGUAAUUC